AUUGAACGCUGGCGGCAGGCCUAACACAUGCAAGUCGAGCGAGCGGCGGACGGGUGAGUAAUGUCUGGGAAACUGCCAGAUGGAGGGGGAUAACUACUGGAAACGGUAGCUAAUACCGCAUACCAUCAGAUGUGCCCAGCUGGGAUUAGCUAGUAGGUGGGGGAACGGCUCACCUAGGCGACGAGCCCUAGCUGGUCUGAGAGGAUGACCAGCCACACGGGAACUUAGAGACGGUCCAGACUCCUACGGGAGGAAGCAGUGGGGAAUAGUGCACAAUGGGCGAAAGCCUGAUGCAGCCAUGCCGCGUGUGUGAAGAAGGCCUGAGGGUUGUAAAGCACUAUCAGUGGGGCGGCGUUACCCGCAGAAGAAGCACCGGCUAACUCCGUGCCAGCAGCCGCGGUAAUUC
rnacentral:rRNA from 1 species